UCCCACUUCAGUUAAACCUUUCUAGAGACA
rnacentral:piRNA from 1 species